rnacentral:lncRNA from 1 species
AACCUCCAAGGCUGGGCUACUGAUCAUCCUCUUCCUACAGACGAGAGACUGCAGGCCUGGAGAUGGCACAGCCUGCUCAGGCCACACGGCCUGCAGGUGGCACUGCACUGCAGCAGCCGGGGACGGGCCUCACGUCCUCAGUGCCCCGUGAUGUCAUUUCAGUGUCGGAGCAGGGAGGGACCUGCUUGUUUUAGAGAAGGGGGUUCACCUGGGACACCCCUGAGCUUUGUCCCAAGCCUCAACAAGCCACUCACUUCCCACUUGGGAGUAGUUUCUCUGCACGCACCAGGCAGUGGGACCAGGGAAGAAAUCGCGUCCGCUAAGUGGUGUCGUCUGCCUGCAAGACCUGCACAGCUCCCAGGCCUAUGGCUUUGGGCACCAGUGGCCCUUCCCGGUCCUGGGCGUGGGGCGGGAGGCAGCCGUGCCCGGGAUUUCGCGCUGCCCCCGGCGUCUCCUUCCCCGUGCUUUUGUGACUUGAUCAGGGUAGAUUUAUUUUCCGAUCCACUGGUUUGUCAACAUGUCAAUUGACUUGCCUCCAUCUGCUUUUUCCCCAUGCCAGGACGGUGCCGGCUGAAAGGGAAGUGUCAGCUGUUCUUCUGUCUUUAAAAGGCAGCAAAGAAAAAAGCGCAGGGUUGGGUUUCGUAACGUCAGAGGAGGCCAAGGACACAGCAUGGAAUCUGACGGGAAACGCAUGUGGGCGAGGAGGUGAUGGGCUUCAAGGCGCGGCUCUCUGGUCGCAAGCCGCCUGUUCUCAGAAUACAGCUGGCUGUGUUGUAAUCGCACGCUGAUCUCACAAUAAAUAACGUGUGCAUGGAACGUGCCUUCAGAUGAGCGUGAAUUUUUACAGUGUGCACAAACAAAAUCCCCCAGCCUGGAGAG